CACAUACACUUUCUUCACAGCAGCGAUUGCAAGAUUUGCGAAGGAACUUAUUAGCAUCCUUGAGGAAGCUAGACAGAAGGUCAUCUUGAGUUGGCAUCAAUGGGGCGCGGGGCACCUCCUCCUCCAUCAGGAUAUUUGAUUGCGAGCACCCAGAGAGAUUCUUCGUAGCCGACAUUGUCAGAUAAAAUUUCAUCCAACACAUAAAUUAAGUUCCUUAUGCGUGCCAGAGCAACUGGUUCAUAUCAAAUCUUCUUUUUUCCCACUAAACCCUGGAAUUGUGGAUGUAACAGGGAAUCUAAAUAUCUUUCAAGUAUCCAUAUUUGGAUUGCUGCAACAGACUCUUUCACUUGAAGACUACUACUAAGUGGUUGUAGACACACUUGAAGAUUGUGAUCCAAGACUAUUGAAGCGACAAGAGAUAUCAAGCGGUCAUGGUUUCAGAAAGUGUUAGCUUUUGAUAGGUUUUGAAGUUAAACAAGUUUUCAGAGAUAGAGUACAAUAAGAUCAAGAAGAGGCAGAAAUGGGAGUAAUGGAGUGAGUGACGAAGAAAACAACAGAACAUACGAGGGGGGCUAUAUCAGUUAACAAGGCUAAUUUAGAGUGAAAAAAACAUGACUUCUAUAUAUACUAUUUUCGGGUUUGCAAAACUAGUCAUAAAAAUAUA